AUUACCUCAUGUAGCUAUUUAUGUAUGUAUAUGACAUCAUUAUAUGUCCAAACAUGGUGCUUAUUGUUGCCUUUGCUACUGCAGGCCACAAGAGUGAAAACAACUUGGCCAAAAAACCAAAAGGGAUAAAGAAAUUUAUUUGGGUGGAAAAACCAAAGGGAUUGGAACACUGCAAGGAAAAACCAAAUUUGGAUGAAUUGUGGGUUAUUGGUUCAGUAUAUGGAGUAGCAGUAUUUUCUCAAAUUUACAGAAUUGUGGUGCUUGAGAGCUAUUGGUUUUCUAUGCCCUGUCAAAGUUAAAGGAAAUAAGGACCUGUUGCACAAGUGUAUGCCAAUUCUGAGCUGAGCUUAUGUGGUGGUGUCUUUGUGAUCGCUAUGGCUAUCACCAUGAGUACCUACAGAGGGAGUCAGGAUUUAGCAGCAAGUUCAUUAUGCUGCAGAUUAACACCAAAGUCACAGAUGGUUUCCACAAGAAGCCAAAGAUCUGUUGUUGCUAGAGCUGAGCCAGAUGUAGGACGAGGACACUAUUGAUCUUCUACAAGCCUAAGCUUGUAAGGCAAGGAUCUUAUUUCUUGCUCUUCGAUGAUGGAUUUUGAUUGCAGUUCUAGCUAGCUAGUAUAUUAGAUUUUUUAUGGAUUUUUAGAUCUGUAGAAAGAGUGUAAUUUGUGGAUUUGACAAAUUUGUGAAACUUGUUAUGAUAGAACUUUUGAAUUUGUAAAUUUGAUGAUGGAACUUGAAUUUGAUGUUUGUGCUGUGAUGUA